GAGGUGUGGCCUUGUGUGAUAGGCGGGUUGGAGACAUCAUUGCUUGCUAGUUGUUUGUGCAUCGCUAGGAUGCUUGUGUGUUGCUUGUUGGAUUUAUUCUUGACAUGUUGGUGGAAAAUGAAUGAGUGGGAGGGAAGCCUGGUUUGGUUCUCACUGAGUAAUAUCCCCAAAUUACUCACCCCUCUCUUUUAAAUCCAUAUUGCAGGUGUGUGAUGAAUGUGAUUGUGAUGAUGUCUGGGAGGAACUAGACGAGUAGCUCU
rnacentral:lncRNA from 1 species